rnacentral:lncRNA from 1 species
GUAAAGGAAAUACGUGAACAUUUGUUGAUUAUUAAUAUGGUUUGGCUGUGUCCCCACCAAAUCUCAACUUAAAUUGUAUCUCCCAGAAUUCCCACAUGUCACAGGAGGGACCCAGGUGGAGGUAAUUGAAUCGUGGUCGGGCGGGGGGGAAGGGGGUGGUCUUGCCGUGCUGUUCUCGUGAUAGUGAGUACCUCUCACGAGAUCUGAUGAGUUUAUCAGGAGUUUCCGCUUUUGCUUCUUCCUCAUCGUCUCUUGCCGCUGCCAUGAAAGGAGUGCUUUUUGCCUCCCACCAUGAUUCUGAGGCCUCCCCAGCCAUGUAGAAUUAGCCAGCCUGUUUUUGAUGAAGAGCAACUGUACUGGAGAGAAAGCCUGUAUUCAUAUUCAUCGUCAUCAGGCAAAUCGAGGAGCUGACUUGCUUAGGAUCACUGGGACCAUCUCAUAAUGUUUGUGUACAUUCCUGUUGUCUUCUACCUCCCAUCCACCGUGUCUCUCUACUGCCUAUAACCAGCCUACAUAAGUUCUUUCAAGAGAUCAAGAAAGAAACAGAAAUCUAGACAGAGAAGGUGAAAAAGAGAAGACCUAACAGAGAGCUAAGAAAGAUAAAUGUGAUUGGAGAGGAAACUAUCCCCAAUUCUCUCUUCAUUGACAUUUG